rnacentral:rRNA from 1 species
AACGAACGCUGGCGGCGUGCCUAACACAUGCAAGUCGAGCGAGAAAGCUCCUUCGGGAGUGAGUAAAGCGGCGAACGGGUGAGUAACACGUGGGUAAUCUACCUUCAGGCUUGGAACAACUCGGGGAAACUCGAGCUAAUUCCGAAUAAGACCACAGAACGUGAGUGAUGUGGUAAAAGCGGGGGCUCUCUUCGGAGACCUCGCACCAGAAGAUGAGCCCGCGGUCCAUCAGGUAGUUGGCGGGGUAAUGGCCCACCAAGCCGAAGACGGAUAGCUGGUUUGAGAGGAUGAUCAGCCACACUGGAACUGAGACACGGUCCAG